ACACGUUCGAGGAAAAACCAAGCGCAAACUUUUUCUUCUUCUUUAACCGCCUGAAAUUGCCUAAGAAAGUCGUUGCGGAAGGAUGUUAUCGAUUAUUAUUCGUAGAUUGGUUUGACAUAUUCAUUUGGCACUACGUCAAAACGCGAACGAAAUCAGAUAGAAUCGGCGGUGUUGUGACUUGUGAGAGUGAUCUUUUUAUGUGUCCAUUUCUGCUGACGCACUGUCUCUAGACGCAUGUAUAGAUAAUGACUUCGCGUGUUCAAAAUGCCUCCCAAAACUAGAUCUAUCUUUGGAAGACUACAUUUCCUCAAAAAGGUCUUGAUCCUGGCAUCUUCGGCGUACUCGGUCCAUGCUCAAUAUUCUCUGCUUUACUUCACACGACUUUGUUAUCUUACUACUGCCAGGAAGAAUGCAGUGUCAGGCUGUGGGCAGACCCAAUUCCACCAGAAGACAGCCAUAUAGUCUCCUUCAUACGUCGUAAUGUUUUGGAUGGUCCACAGGAGCAUGUGUUGUAUGUAACGAAGAGUGACCUUGAAGGUGUGCCG